UACGGGGGGGGGCAAGCGUUGUUCGGAAUUACUGGGCGUAAAGGGCUCGUAGGCGGCCAACUAAGUCGGAUGUGAAAUCCCCAGGCUUAACCUGGGACUGCAUCCGAUACUGGAUGGCUUGAAUCCGGGAGAGGGAUGCAGAAUUCCAGGUGUAGCGGUGAAAUGCGUAGAUAUCUGGAGGAAUACCGGUGGCGAAGGCGGCAUCCUGGACCGGCAUUGACGCUGAUGAGCGAAAGCUAGGGGAGCAAACGGG
rnacentral:rRNA from 1 species